AUGGAAGGUCCCAGGCCAGGGAUCGAACUGGUGCCACAGCUGCAACUCCAGCCACUGCAGUGACAACAUCAGAUCCUUAACCUGUGGAGCCACGCAAGAACUCCCCUCUGGUGCUUUUUUAAUGAAAGCUUUUUUUUUUUUUCUCCCUGUCUUUUUUCUUCUGUAAAACUGCUGGAUUUGAAAUCAACCAUUGUAUAUAAGUGGGGUACAUAUAUUAUUCAUUCAUUCAUGGGUAUUGGUUGUGUUUGCAUGCAUGGUUUGGAUGGCCUUUGUGUAAUUAUUCUCUACUAUUUGAGUCAAUAAUGUCCAUGUUCAGUUGUAAACUAUUUACAGGUAGAAAGCAUAUUCUCUAGCAAGUAGUUUUCAAAAUGAGAGUAUAGAUACAGGCAUAGGUCUGCUAUAUAGAUAUAGAUAUGGGCUUAGGUAUAGAUAUAUAGAUCUAAGUAUAGAUAUAUAGACAUAGGCAUAGGUGUAGAUAUUUAGAUUUAGAUAUGGAUAUAGGCAUAGGUAUAAUACAUAGAUAUAGAUAUAUCCCCUAAGAAGCAGAAAGAAAAUACUGGAGCUUGUAAAUGUUUAUAUACAUGUACAAAAACGCACUUGUAUAUAUUUUAUACAUUCAUUACAUAUAUGUAUGUUCAUAUGCAAAUAUACAUAUAGCACUCAAAAAAAUUAAUAGCACUCUUAAUAGCCCUCUUUUAAAAAUCGUGCACCUAUUUCGAAACCUUCAAGUUUUUUGUUUGUUUUUUGGUGCAGUUUUGUAAGUAUAAUUUCUUGAUGUUGAAAAUGUUUUUCUGCUUGGAGCACAUGAUCACACAGUGGAGAUGCUAUUUACGCCAUCGUGAAGAAACCAUAGCUGAGUGCCGUUUGUUAAGGAACCAGUGGUGCUGACAAUGAUGUUCACUUAUUGCCUGCUCUUUGAUACUUUAAAAAAAUUGGGUCCAAUUCUAAUGUGAAUUUGGCUGCAACAAAGGCAGCAAGUCCUCAAAAAGGAGCUCUUUAGUUGAUGGUUAAAAGUCCUGUUUUUUUGUCGGUAAAGGGAUGAUAAAAGGAGGCUGCCCCUUGGGUCAUGUCAUGGAGGUUUAAAAGUCCCUGGGAAGAGAAGAAAGACGACCUCUUAAUAAUUUGAUUGGACACUUACAUGUGGAAUCUAAAAUAUGACACAGAUGGACCUAUCUACAGAACAGAAACAGACUCACAGACGUGGGGAGCACACUUGUGGCUGCCAAGGGAGGGAGUAGGAUGGACUGGGAGUUAGGGAUUCAUAAAUGCAAACUAUUAUGUUUAGAAUGGAGAAGCAAUGAGGUCCUGCUGUACAGCACAGGGAACUAUAUCUAAUCACCUGUGAUAGAACAUGAUGAAAGAUAAUAUGAGAAAAAGAAUGUAUAUCUGUGUAUGACUGGGUCACUUAGCGGUAUAGAGGAAUUCGAAAGAACGUUGUAAAUCAACUCUAAUAAAAAUUAAAAAAAAUAAUUUGAUUGGAAAUCUGGAGUCAGUGUACAAGCACACACAAAAAAGCCUUGAAAAGAACCAACAUAAAAAUAUUAACUGUAUGGUGAGAUUAGAAGUGAUUUCAUUUGUUUCCUUUAAGUACAAAUUCUCGACAAUAAGCAUGUCUUUUUUUAAACCAAAAAAAAAAAGCAAUGUUAAAAUAUGCACGCUAACCUGAACACAAUAAAAUACUUUUAAAUAAGUAUGUCCUCAUGCACACAAAAAGUCUAAACAAAUCGAGGUUGCCAGAAAUCACAAAAGAUGAUUUUAUUCAAAUUAAAGAUGUGAGCAAUUACUGUCUCAUUUUCAGAUAUUCACAGAAUGAAACAGUAGGACCAAUUCACGUUUGUGGAUGAGGGAUGAUGAUAGGAUUGUGUUCUCUGUGUCAGUUGUUUCUCUCUGACCAAGAUGACAAUUUCCAGAAUACCUACUUCUCCAUUUCUCUUGCCUUUUAUUUUUCCAUGGCUGCAAGUUCCUGUAAUUACGGGAAAAAUUCUUUCCUGGAGCAGUGGCUCCGAGAUUAGCCAGUUUGGAGCCAACCUGAAUAUUCCCAGUGGGUGCUAAUAGUCUUCUUUGUAGGAACACAGUUUUCAGGACAGAUUCAGUGCUGCUCUGAGCCUUAAAACAGCUGGAAAAUGCAUGACUGGACAUGCAUUAGAUCUGACAGCAUGUGAAUCCACUGUUAAAUAGUACUUAAUACCUAUCUGAUUUUCUUUUUUUGCAUUUUCAUUUUCUUGUCCUUAAAUAAUCACCACAGUAUGGAAUAGCCGUUAUGAAUUCCUGACGUGCAACUCAAAAUUCUUAAUUCUAAAGAUCCAUGUGAUUGCUUGGAUAAACAAAUGCCAAAGUUCAAGAGUGGGUCAGAAGUUGGGUAUUGUCUUUAUUUUUGAAGUGCUCUAUCUUUAAAGAGCACACAUUUGUUCUUGAACUGUCUGAAUUCAAGCUGAAGGGACAAAAUUCUCCCCGAAUUAAGUCCUCUUGCAACUUGGUGAUAUAUACUUAUUUAGGGAAACAUGAGAGUGCCCUUUUGUUAAUUUUAUUUUAUGUAUUUUUGAUUUUUUAUUUUUUGUCUUUUUAGGGCCACACCUGCAGCAUAUGGAAGUUCCCAGCUGUGUCUGUGACCUACACUACAGCUCAGGAAAACACCCGAUCCUUAACCCACUAAGCAAGGCCAGGGAUUGAACCAGCAUCCUCAUGGACACUAGUCAGGUUCAUAACCUGCUGAGAUACAAUGGGAAUUCCCCAUUUUGUUAACUUUAUAACCCUAAUCUAUACUUCAGCAUUUAACAAACACAGUUUUGUUAAUGACCAUUUUUAGUCAUUCAUUCAUUCAUUCAUUCAUCCAUUCAUUCAUUCUAACCUCUCUGGAUUACACUAGGGAAAAAACCAAACAAAAAUGUCCAUGUGGAGCUUCAAUUCCAGUGCGUGAAGAAUAAACAUCAUAAAUAAGUAACAUAUACAGUAUGUUAGGUCCUAUGGAAAAAACAGAGAGAGACAGAGGAGAUCCGGAGAAGGCAGAUGCUAACUUUAGAUGAGGGUUGGGGGGACGGGGAUCUGGGUCCGUCUCACUGAGAAAGGGAUUUUUAGAGAAAGACUUGCAAAAGGAAAGUGGGUUGGUUCAGAGAAGGGUGUGACCCAGGCAGACAGAAUAAAGGGUGCCAGAGUCCUAAGGAGGUGGGGAGAAAGAGAGAGGGGACAGGUCCAGGACAACAGCGGAGCUCUAGCGAGUGGGCAAUGGGUCUGGGGUGGAGGAUGAAGUCAGGAGAGCAAGGGGGUAAGAUUACGUAGGGGCUUCUAGAGAUCGCCCUGGCUGCCAUGUUGAGACUAGCUUGCCAUGGAUAAGAGAAGAAUCAAGAAGACCAGGUAAGAAGCAAUCGAGGUGCUUCUGGUGUAAGGUGCUUAGCUGGGGUGGCAGCAGAGAAAGGGGUGGGAGUGGUCAGGCUGAGUCCACUCUGGACAUGGCACUGACGGAGCUUGCUGAUGGUGGGAGGUGGGUGUGAGGGGAAGAGAGGAGACAAAGAUGAAGUCAUCCAAGGACUAGUGGGCUGAGCAAUGGGAAGGGUGGAGUUGCCAUCCACUGAGUUUGUAUUUCUCUGUUUCUGGAACUCAGUGGUAAACUUCUGGCAGACAGGAACCAGCAUCUUGUGUAUUCUGUAACCUUCAUACAAACAUGAUCAAAAUUAUGCUAAAUGUAAAAUGAAGUUUAAAGUUCCCCUUAUAGGGUCUUUUCUGGCCCACAGAGGGGUCUCAACGUUGACCUUGGGGCCAGCCAACCAAUGAUCGCUCUCCUUUCCAUGCUGUGUGGAACCCACUUGCUCCCCUGGUGGUGACUUUUGGGUGGCUACGGGGGUAGGUUUCUGCCUAUCUAGUCAAACUAUUAUUUAACCCUUCAUAUGGGUCCAGGUACUUUCCCGAACAGGAGAAUUUCUAGAGAGAGGGAUGGAGGCGGAGGGUGGGAAAUCAGCUCUCAUCCCCUUUAACCAUCUUGUUCUCUUCUUGCUGCAAGACUCCAACAAGGUGAACUUGACCCAGAGGAUACAAGGAAAACAUUUUUGAAGCUUUUUAUAGGGCCGGUUCAGUAAUGUAAAUGUCUGCUUCUGGCCAGGGAUAAACAAUAGGGAGUAAUUGGUACCGAUGCAGCAAACCAGAGUCCCAGGCAAUUGCUGCUGUGUAGAACUGGAGGUGCAAUAAACCAGGCAUGUGUGUGAGCCUAUUGCAGCCCAGGAACCCCUCCUUCCCCAGCCCUGGCCUGAGCAUCAGAGAAGUCCCUUUAAGACCUUCCCUUUCUUCUCAUUGUCCUGUUCUUCCCAGAGUCCUCUCUUGGAUCCAUUCAUUGUUGGUGCUCCUUAUGCACCAUCCUGCAUUAUUUCCACAUUCUUAUACCCCCUUAAGAAGUACCUGGGUCCUAGAUACUUUCAAGCCUCUAUGUCUUGCCAACUGUUUCUGUAAGUGCUGCAGGUGUUUGUCUAUUGCUAUCAAGUGCAUACCGUAAGUUAAAGAUACUUUAUUGCUACAAAAUGUUAACCAUCAUCUGAGCCUUCAGCAAGUUACAGUAGUAAUAUCAAUGAUCGCUGAUCACAGAUCACCUUAGCAAAUAUAAUAAUAAUGAAAAAGUUUGAGAAUUACCGAAAUGUAACACAGAGACACCUAGCGAGCCACUGCUGUAGGAAAAAAUGGCACUAAUAAACUCGCUGGAUGCCACAGCGUUGCCAUAAACCUUCAAUUUAUAAAAUUCAAUAUUGUCAAAGUGUAAUAAAAUGAGGUAUGCCUGUAUUUCAACAGUGCUUCUCCUUUAGGGUCUUUCCUUGUAAAUUACUGAAACCUCUAGGGGUUCAACCCAAGGUUCUCACUUAGAUUAUUUACAUAAAGAUGUUCAUAAUCCCAUGGAAUAACAAAUCUUUAUUACAAAAUUGAGUUUCGUGUUUAGGAAUCUUUGGAGAAGGAAGUUUAAAUACCAAGAAAGAUAUAUUAAGAAAUAAAUUGUAGGAAGAUCGAGGGAAAUUGAGGGGAAAAAAAUCCACUGAUGAGCAUAUUUCAAUAGAGCUUUGACCUACUGGUAGCUCAUCUCUGCACAGCCUCUUCCCAUAGCCCUUCCUACAUGAGCGCCUCCUCCAGGAAGUGGGGCUGUUUGUUAUCAAGCACGUCCAUGUGUUCUUUCUCAGUAAACCAAAAGAUUUCCAAUUUAUCGGAGGGAUUUCAACUCUAGCAAAAUGUUCAGUGUCCCCAAAGCUAUUAAAUACUCUUCAUUAUUCUUAUAACGAUCAGUAGAACACCCUCAUUUAUGUUUAUUUUUUUCCAAAGAUAAAAAUUGGAGCAAUUGGAGGAGGGGGAGAGAUUCAUGGACACAAAUGGCUUGAUCUUUUCACCUGUUUCACCGGCUCUUUUUUUGAAUGUUGACUUAAUUUUAUACAUCUAGGUAUUCCCACUUCACCCAUUUUGUGGGUGCUUCAGGUGGCCCAAAUAGGAAGGGCCUAUUUAUCGAUUUUUUCUUCUGUGAAUGUGGCCACUGUCCUCUUAGCCUGUGAACAUAAGGUCUGCCGUCCUCUUGCUCUUACUGGUGGGGCAUGGGGGGGGGGUUGCACCCUGAAGAGGCAAAAAUCAUUUCAAAUCCCCUGAAGACCAAAAUAUCAAGAAUUAGAGGGCAGUGUAAUGGCUGGGAGAGGGAAGAAAGGACAGAAGCAAAUAGUUGACAGGUCUCUAAAACUUUAAUUUUCAGCCCAAAGAAUUUCUUGAAAGGCACCUUUGAGGGGGAGGGCUCAUUGAUUUUCUUUUCUUUUUUUUUGACUUUUUAGGGCAGCACAUGUGGUAUAUGGAAGCUCCCAGACUAGGGGUGGAAUCAGAACUGUAGCUGCUUGCCUACAACCACAGUCAAGCAAUGCCAGAUCCAAACUGUGUCUGUGACCUACACGGCAAUUCACAGCAACACUGGAUCCUUAACCCACUGAGCGAGGCCAGGGAUCGAACCCACAUCCUCAUGGAUCCUAGUUGGCUUCAUUACUGCUGAGCUUCAAAGGACACUCUCACUGAUUUUUUAAAAAUUUCCGUAGUUUCUUUCCAAGUCCUGCUUCUGUGACUGCUGCUGGAUGUCAACUCACAAGCGCAAAAGAGGUCACCAAGGUUCCCAAGGCUUUUCAGAGAACAAAAGGGAACCUGCUUCACACUGAUAAAUGACUUGCCUUAGCACCUGUAAGUCUGUUUCACAUUUCACGUCAACCUUUCUUCAUGGGCUGAUAACAGCAACUGAAAAUGAAUCCUGACAGCCUGUUGUGAUUUCACAGUAUCCAGCAGGAAAGCCCAGCUUAAUUGUGAGCAUAUGAUUUUUUUCUUUCAAGCACUGAAUUUUCUAUUGAGUCCACUGCUCUGAUAAAAUCUACUUAUUUAGCAGUUGCUAAUCAUUGGGGCAUUCAUUCUUUUUCUCCCAUGAUUCUAGCAAGUUGGAGUUUGCUUUCUAACAAGCCACUGAACUGCUCCAAGAAAAAAAAAAAAAAAAAA
rnacentral:lncRNA from 1 species